AUCGCUUCUCGGCCUUUUGGCUAAGAUCAAGUGUAGAAAUUAUUCAAUAUUUAGUGACAUAAAUUCCCUGAAAAAUUCAGUGAUAAUUAGCUACUGUUAAACUUAUACACACAACUCUU
ensembl:snRNA U2 U2 spliceosomal RNA